AUUUUGGGAGCAUAGGGGAAGCUCACAUGCUCCUUCCUGCUGUCUCAACUUUCCACAGGGCGCUAGGGCAUGGCUCCUGUUUCUAACACCGUGACUCCUGUCCUCCUUCUCUGAAAAAUUCUGAACCAGGAGACAUCAGAGUCUGGGGACACCUCCAUGUGGCACAGAAGAGGCAGACACCAGGGAGCCACCCCCCCGGUGCCCCCUUCAGAUCCCUUGCACUGCUUGUCUCCUGCCUCAGGGAUAAACUGAACUGAAAGUAACUGUGACCCAAGUCCCAGCUGUCACUGGCACCCCGAGACUCCCAGGUCUGGCUCGAGCAGCAUCUAAACGGAAGCAAAUGGAUCUUGGUUCAAUGAAUGCCACAGAACACCUGCCUUUGAAUCUCCCACGACAGAGGGCUAUCUUGACUAGCCUGCCGUACAACUCGUCUCUCUCAAAUGACAGCUCAGAUAUGCUGUUCUUCACGUUCCUUGGUACCCCUUCGAUGGGAAGGAGAGAGUUGAGUUCAAAUUUCCCUUCCUGCUUGCUUGUGUAACCUUGGGCAAGUUACCUAUCAUCUCUAAGCCUUGUUUGUAAAAGAAGAACAUCCACCUAGGUGGGUUAUUGUGAGGACAAAAUGAGAUAAUAUAGAUGUGAGGCUUUGCCCAGUGCCUGGCAUGUAGUAAAUGCUCAAUAAACAGUAGUGGUAGUAGUGUUCACAUUCUGACAGCUGUUUUCACAGGACGAUUGCAAAACAUUUGCAUCAGAACCUCUCCCUAUUCAAAUCAGCCAAGCCAGCGUCCUACUGUAGUCUGGAAAACGGUGAGGAAGGAGAAGGGGGACUAACACUUGUUAAUCCUUAUCAUCUGGUGAUAGAAAAUAAUCAUCAUUCUAAACUCACUUGAGAAAUGAGGAAACUGAGCCUCUAACUUGCCUACAGUCCCUCAGGUUGGUCGGCAUCUAAAGCCAACGCCCUUCCCACCUAAAAACGCCCAAGAUCUCCGUCAGCAAAAGCCCUCUGCCCACCUGCGGGAGGGGCAGGCUCCCACCCACCACAGGGAAGACAGCCAACUCCGUCUAACUAGAACAGCUGAAAUCGAAGAGGGACACGCACCUCCCCAAGUGAGCUGGGAUCACAGCUCGUGUUCCAGAUACGACAGGGAUGACCUUACACAGGGGGUCCCGGAGGGCUCUUGGGGAGGGGAGCAGCAAACGCCCUGUGAGCUGGCCUGAAGGGAAAUGGAGCAGCCUUGGAGGCUCUCUCUAGAGAGAACUCAGCAGAAUUACCAGUCUCCGUCCUCCACACCCAAAAAUCCAGAUUCCUCACAAGGUCUUAAUUCUGGCAAUCCAUGCAAUUUGUUUCCCCUGGUUGACUGCAGGCUGCUCUGAUAUUUUCCUCUCUGAAGUCUCUCUAUACUUAGGCAGCCAGUUGGAAUGACCUUUUCCUGGGCUCCAUCAGGUCACCGUGCACUAGUUUAUAUAAUGCAUAUGCUACAUCACAACUCUCUUCCACCUGACUCUUCAAAUAGGCCUUAAGACCUGCGCUCCGCAUUUUCUGAAUUCUCUCCACUGCCCCCACAGUAAGCCUAGAAACAUACUGGAUCUUGAUAAAUGCUUGUGGAGUGAAAAAAUAAGUAAGGUCACAAAUCUUAGGAGAGUCUUUAGAUAAGGGUUUUGUCUAGAGUUCUAUCUACACAGAAACAAAAUAUUAAAUAAACGACAAAAUUUUGUGUUUAGUUUACAAAAAUGAGCGAAUGAAAGUGAAAUGCUAAAGGAAAAAAAUUAAUUUUCACUGCAAAGAGAUAAUGUGCUUCCAGCUCAUUUCCAGCCAGUGGGGGCUGAGUCAUGGGGAGGCUGUCAACCACCUUUCUGAGAAGCUCUCGAGGCACAUGUGUCAUUGGAGGGAACAGAUGGGACCUACCAUCAGAUGAAGGGGGCGCCUGUGACUACUGGCAUGCACUGUUUUGCCAAUGUUCCCCCUCCUUUUGGAGGAUUCACCUUCAUUCUCACCCACUUCCUUAAAUGUUUACCUUUAUAUUUGCCAACUGUUUGAUUUGGUGUUUCAACUGUUCUGACCAUCUGCUGGGAGAAAACUUCUGGAUUAUGUCACAGUUUUGGGAACAACUCAUACAGUUUUGGAGUUGGAGGAUAACUUAGAAAUCAGCAAGUCUGACUCCUUCGUUCCUCUGUGCACAACGCUUCUUCAAGGCUGUGUGUCAGCCCCA
rnacentral:lncRNA from 1 species